GACGAACGCUGGCGGCGUGCCUAAUACAUGCAAGUAGAACGCUGAAGGAGGAGCUUGCUUCUCUGGAUGAGUUGCGAACGGGUGAGUAACGCGUAGGUAACCUGCCUGGUAGCGGGGGAUAACUAUUGGAAACGAUAGCUAAUACCGCAUAAUAGUAGAUGUUGCAUGACAUUUGCUUAAAAGGUGCAAUUGCAUCACUACCAGAUGGACCUGCGUUGUAUUAGCUAGUUGGUGAGGUAACGGCUCACCAAGGCAACGAUACAUAGCCGACCUGAGAGGGUGAUCGGCCACACUGGGACUGAGACACGGCCCAGACUCCUACGGGAGGCAGCAGUAGGGAAUCCUCGGCAAUGGACGGAAGUCUGACCGAGCAACGCCGCGUGAGUGAAGAAGGGUUUCGGAUCGUAAAGCUCUGUUGUAAGAGAAGAACGAGUGUGAGAGUGGAAAGUUCACACUGUGACGGUAUCUUACCAGAAAGGGACGGCUAACUACGUG
rnacentral:rRNA from 1 species